rnacentral:rRNA from 1 species
AGAGUUUGAUCCUGGCUCUAGGACCGAUUAACGCUGGCGGCGUGCCUAAUACAUGCAAGUCGAGCGCAGGAAGCUCACGGAACUCUUCGGAGGGAAGUGAAGGGAAUGAGCGGCGGACGGGUGAGUAACACGUAAGGAACCUGCCCCAAGGAUUGGGAUAACUCCGAGAAAUCGGAGCUAAUACCGAAUAGUUCUUCAGACCGCAUGGUCUGAUGAUGAAAGGCGCUCCGGCGUCACCUUGGGAUGGCCUUGCCGGUGCAUUAGCUAGUUGGUGGGGUAAUGGCCCACCAAGGCGACGAUGCAUAGCCGACCUGAGAGGGUGAUCGGCCACACUGGGACUGAGACACGGCCCAGACUCCUACGGGAGGCAGCAGUAGGGAAUCUUCCACAAUGGACGAAAGUCUGAUGGAGCAACGCCGCGUGAGUGAUGAAGGUUUUCGGAUCGUAAAACUCUGUUGUAAGGGAAGAACAAGUACGAGAGGUAAUGCUCGUACCUUGACGGUACCUUGCGAGAAAGCCACGGUAACUACGUGCCAGCAGCCGCGGUAAUACGUAAGUGGGCAAGCGUUGUCCGGAAUUAUUGGGCGUAAAGCGCGCGCAGGCGGCCUUUUAAGUCUGAUGUGAAAGCCCCCGGCUCAACCGG